rnacentral:rRNA from 1 species
UACGAAGGGGGCUAGCGUUGCUCGGAAUCACUGGGCGUAAAGGGCGCGUAGGCGGCCUGCUAAGUCGAACGUGAAAUCCCUGGGCUCAACCCAGGAACUGCGUCCGAUACUGGUUGGCUUGAAUCCGGGAGAGGGAUGUGGAAUUCCAGGUGUAGCGGUGAAAUGCGUAGAUAUCUGGAGGAACACCGGUGGCGAAGGCGACAUCCUGGACCGGUAUUGACGCUGAGGCGCGAAAGCCAGGGGAGCAAACGGG